CAAAGCAAACGGUCUCUGCUUGAAGUGAGUUUGUCAUUUGGUCUGAUUUUUUCCAAGUGCCAGAGUACAGGCAUCUUAGGAGCAAGCAAUGGCAGAGCUAUGUGAUGUUGAGGCUGAGCAACAUCAGGUACCAGGUGGGCAGCCACAGGCGUUGGAGUUCCCUCAGUGCUGCAGUACUGCUACAGCAGUAACUAGGCACUAUCCCUUAGGCACGUUUUGAGCCAACAGCUGCCAUCCCAAAUAACUGAGGCAAAACAGCCCAUUUGGAAGGCCCAGCAAAACCACAGCAAAUCAGCACUAUUUCUUUGCAUUUCAUACAUUUCUAGAUUGCUUUGAUCCUGUCUCAGGGAGGAUAUUUAAAGGGACAUGGAUAGGAACCUAAGUUUACUACAAGUGUUUACUUUAUCCUAAGCAGUGUUUCUCAUCUAUUGUUCUGUAACACUUCCUGCUACAAAACUCUCAUUUCUUCUGCUCUUUUCUAACUCUUCAUUGGGUACUGGCUACUUUCAUCAAACUGAUCAGGCCAACAAAGGGCCAAGACAGGAAGGAUUAAGGCAAAUGCUAUUUCAAGCAUGAAAACAACUCAGUUAAAACCAAAGAAACAAACAUUACUACCAACAUACAUUUUAAAAGGCACAUAACAACUGUUUGUUGGUGGAAAUUUCUAUCACAAGUUCUAAACCUCUGGUCCUCAAGGAAAACAUCACUUGCAGUUAUGUCCUAUUUCUUAAUGAGAUGGAGCACAAGAAACCACUGAGCGAUCAUCUGCUCAGAUGCUUAUAUGAAAGAAAUAAACAAGGGAAUUUAAAUGUUUAGAAGCACCAGUUUCCCAUUCCAAGUGUUCCCGGUUCCUUGUCUCCACCAAACUUCCUCCUAAACCCAAGUAUUUUCUCCUGCCACCAACAGCUGGAGACAAGGUAGUGCUCUCCUUCAGCUGUACUGAAGAGUUAAGAGGCCAGACAGAGAAGGGAGAGGCUGUGCUCAUUCUGUUCGUUUUUCCGAGUUUUCUUUGGGCAGUCUGGAGAGGGUGUUUCCCUCUCCCUUGUAGACUGUCACAGCAGUGUGAAAUAACUUACCUCCACAAGACCUCAAAAGAGACAUAAUAGGAAGUAUUUGUCACGUCACACACUGCAGAUUCUGGGACUCAUUUCAGGGACAUAAGGCUCUUCUGAGGGACAAGCCUAGGAUCAGAGACACAGCCUUUUAUACAGGUAGAGAGAUCUACGGACAGACUGCAAAAGCAAACGAGGUCUUAUUAAUUCCUCACAGCCAAAGAGAGGGCAGGAUGUCUUCUUCAAGUCCACUAUGAUUUUUUUUUUCUGUUACUUCAGCUUCCUUUGAAGUCAACCGAGAGGAAGGGAAUGGAACUGGACAGUAUCUAUGCUCUCCCCAAUUGGGACAGCUUCAUCCAAAAAGGACCCCUUCCUGCAGCAGACUGCAUCUCACUUUGGAAGAGCCCUGGGAACAGCAGUUACUCCCCACCUCUUGGCUCUGUUCCAUUAUCUCAUCACUCAAUUCAUAAAUCUGCUGUCUAAUCCUACAGUUACAGCCUGGACUGUACCUCCCUGGCUGUACAGAGCUGGCUUAAGUAAGGCAACUUAGCUGUGGCCACAUUCCUACUGAAGUGCCCCCACUGUCACCAGCAAUGCUGCGACUCUGCACUGCCGCUAUCCAUCCCCGUACCGGACCUGGAGGUCUCAGUGAUGUUGCCAAAGGGCCGCUGCCUUGCAGAGCAUCUCAAAAGGGCGACAGUGUGGGGAGCAGAGAGAGACAGCUCUGUUACAGGUCUGCACUCAUUCUGGUGCUCAUUCACAACUUACAGCUCAGACUGUCACUCCCCUAGGAAAAGGCAGUGGAAACUUCAGAUGUUCCUGUCCCUGAGGGCCUCCUACCCAGGGCUAUGGAGCCCUGGCACUUCAGCCUGCAGCAGAGCAGCCUUCAUACAGCACAGAGGCAGGAGCAAGCAUGGGGCUGCUACCAAAGCAGCUCACACUGCCCACUGGAACACAUCUGACAUAGCCCAGGUUGGGAGUCCCCAUUUUUAUAUGGAAAGAGAAGCCUCAACAGGGAAAGUAAUUUGCAAAAAAGAGGGCUGCAUCAAGAACACAGCCAGGAGUGGGCACCCAGCCUAGCUCUGCCUUUACAUUUUGCCAGCUUUUGAGCCCAUACAACUCUUCCCCUUUAUAAUGAGCGCAUUAAACCUAGCAUAGCAACCCAGUUUCAAGAAGUUCCUCCAGCUCUUCCUUUCUCUGGAGGUGUUAGUUAUAUUUAAUUUCAUCUUCUAGCUAACCAAAGUAACUUUUUUUGAGGAAUACUUAAAAUGGCUGAAAGGCAGGCCAUGCCCGCUGCUGACACUCCUCAAUCUUCUCCUCUCUUUUGGAAAAUAUGCCUGCAGCCAUCUCACCACAUCACAGCCAAACCACCGUGAAGUGACAGCUCUCAUCAGGUAUGGGAAAAGCAGUGCAAAUCAACCCACAUGAAGACUGCACUGCUCUUCUAACCAGAAAAGCAUGUAACAGUACAAGUGGAAAAGAGUAAAUUUGAACAACUUCAAGCUCCAGAGAGGGCUGGCCUACAAGAUCUCCAAGAAGCUCCAAAAGUCUGCUGGAAGCUGAUGUCAACCUUGGCCCAACAAACUGCAAGAGCAGCCACACAAUGUGCAGCCUCUGUUGUGACAGCAAAACUCAUCUGAAAAUGCAGACUUCGCUUUAAAAAAAAAAUCAAAAGAAAGUAAAUUGACAUUCGGUGAUUAGAUCUAAGGCUUGCCUAAAAGAAUAGCAACAGGCUAGCCAGCACUGGGUAGCCACAAAAAGCCAAUGCGUAUGUUCCUCUUCCUUUUGGUUCAGUGUUGCUGUAACUACUGUGCUGUUCAAUUAUUCCACCAUAAAUGCAGUGCAGGAAGUCUUUUUUCUGCUAGGUGAGUGUGGGUGCCUGUGAAGCAACAUAAACUCUGUUGUAUGUCUGAUCCACUUUGAAUUUAUCUGCACACAAAGCUAACAAGAAUCCCAGUCUGAGGCACCACUAUUGUAAGAAUCACUGAAGUAUCUCCUACGGGUUUCUAAGGUCUUUCCUUAAAUUUUAUUCCUACUUUUCAAUUAAAAAAGAGAGGAAAUGAUAAAUACUAAAUGCGGGUAAGUUUCAGCAUCUCCAAGUAACAUGUGCACACACAGUUCAUGCCCAAACACUGAGAAAAGCAUUGCGCUUUCCAGCAUCCAAAUGAGGGGAAGUGGAAAGGUGCACCUAUUUCACACACAGAUUUACAGCGCAGUGAGGGGAUAUGGCAGUUGCCAGAGCCCAACUCAAAAUCCCACCUGUAUGCAGCAAUAAAGCAUGUGCAUUUGUGUGAAUGUAUCUACAUACCUACACAUCGUUCAAUAAAAUGUCCAUAACAGGAACUCAGUACAGAUUCCUAUCUUCUGCAAUCCGGCUGGAGCAAACAGGGAGAGUGGGCAUCAUGAGCAGAGACUAAUCUCUCUGACACUCCUCUUCAAAGCCAACCAGUGAACAAACAAGGGAGAGCAGAGGCUGAUGAAUGCAGCCAAAUUGUUAGUAGUGAAUCCAGCUCUACGCCACAAGAAAAAAACCCCUGCAAACAUUUCAGCCCUGUGAGUCUGAAGGGGGAAGUGGCUACAAAUAAAACAGAAGUGACUCACCUAUUCUCCUCGUCUAGGAUGGGAAAAAAACUGGAAGAUAAACAACAUGUGUAGCUAUUGCAAAGCAAACUGGCUUCUCUCAGCCCCCUUCAGUAAAGUGGAAUUGUCCACCAAACAAAAUUUACUUCUCUUCUGAAGUAUGAUUUACAUAGGAAGAGGUCUGCUUAUCAGUUUUCACUCAAAAUCAGCAGCUAUGAGACCAGGCAUGGCAAGUACAGAUCAUUGCCUGAAAAAGCUGAAUAUUGUGAAUGUUUUCCACAUUGCACCAGGCAGGCUGGGACAUGCUGGCUUCACCUGAAUAACGUUUAUCCUUCUGGAAGUCUUAUUGCAAAGUGCUUAAAGAUAUCUUGAAAGAAAGAGAUGCAUACAAAUAAACAGGAUAAUGCCUCCCAGCACCUGGCAAAGUGUCAGAGGUGACUCAUACAUUAUGGCUGUGUACAUUUGAGGUUUGUGUGAGCGACAGUGUUGGGUUCUACCCACUCCAGAUUUAAAUCACAGGGGAUGAAGCUCAGAUGUGUAAUGGAUGAUGUAUGUUCUCCACAGUAGAACACGCACUUACUGUUAGAGCAAAGUGAGAUUGCUCCUCAAUGACUCCUAAAAAACAACUGAACUGCACAUCCAGAUGGGAUCACCCAGGAGAUGAUGAAUAGAAUCCCAAUCCAGCAAAACAAACACCUACAGUACAAGUUAACUCUGAGAAAUCUUGGAUGGAGAAUUACUGGGUACUUUGGAUGUAACUGAUCCAGGCCACGUAGUUCAGCCUGCAGCUGACCUGGCUCCCUCACAGCCAUCCAUGUUUGCUAUCCACAGGACCACAAGGGCUCACAUUAUAAUAAGUGCUGCCAAGCAUGGAUGGGGCCCCAGGCAGCAGCCCAUCAGGAUGUGUACCUCACUUCCAUCUGCAUCUCUCAGCAUCAGCACUGACCUGGAGAAGUAGUGCAAGAUGGAGACAACAGAGGAUAUAAUGGAGCAAGAGACAGUAGCUGAGAAAAUCACAGAAUCAUAGAAUCGUAGGGGUUGGAAGGGACCGCCAGAGAUCAUCGAGUCCAAUCCCCCUGCCAAAGCAGGUUCCCUACACCAGGUGAAAAGGGUGCCAAAGCAGGGUAACAACUGUGUGUUUGAUCCUGCUGAAGUUCUCUUCCAACAAAGAAACAGUCCCCUUCUGGUGCAGGUGGAUCUUGGUGUGCUGCGGUGAGCGUGACUGUAAGCUAUCCCCUCUGGGCGUCCCUCCUCGUGCUUCUGUACCGCAUAAAGACAAACUGAGCAGCCACAGCCAGUCAAGGUGAUACAGGGCACAGCUGAGCAAGAAGUUGCAGCCGCACCGGUAGCCCACACACUUCAGAGAUCAUCUGAAGCACUGCAACGCUAUAUGAGGAGCUUCCUUUGAUGUGCCAUCUGGUGAAUCAUUUACUGGGAGUGUCUUAUCACAUCAAAGGCACCUAUCAAUGCAGUGGAUUUCUCCGUGUUUAGGACUGCCUGCACACUGCACUCAAGGAAGAAAUAUAUUAGCACAGAAUUAAACUUCACCACGCUGCUCUCCCCCACAGUAAUAAAAAAAAUAUAUCUGCAUCAUAUCGCCCUAGGCAGCAGGUUUCAGAAGAGUAUUUCAACACUAAUCCAAAAAGGCUGUGACUUUACCACCAGCUUUGUUCGUGUUUUCAAUGAUUUAUUACAACAGGCAUGCAUCUGUGGCAUAAAACAUCAGCGGAGAAGCAUAUCCACCGACUGCGGGGCAGCACGCCCAGGCAAUCCUUCCUUCUUGGAAUGAGAAAACCACCAGUGUCCGCUGCCUCGAGCCUGAGAGUGAGUGAAGGCACCUUUACAGGAACGGUCUUUCUGGCUACUAAACCUAUGUCGGAAACGACCACAAGGCCAGACGCAGUCGCAUCGAGCGCAAGCCCAGGCCGGGCAGCCCGUACCGCACGGCGGCUCCGUCCCGUUCCGCGCAGUCCCGAUCACGGCUCACGGCCCGCAGACCCCC